AUUUAGAGCAGGAUAUCCAGGAAGCAUUUUCAAAGCUAGUUCUAAGAGCCUUUACUGCAUGACCACAGAGAGUCGGACAAGUUAGGUGAAGUAAGUGCGUGUACUAGACACAUCUAAAGCAUACAUCUAUUUUUAAUGCCUGAGCAAAUGUUUAAGGUCCAAAAUGUUGAAAUGUUGCAUCUUUUUUUCCACUAAUAGUUUUCAGGAGUGAGCAGAACCAGAACUGCAAAAACAAUGCAAGAUUAUUUUAAACAGAUUUCCCUUCUGGUUCUAUAAGAUAAACAGGUUUAGAAAUUUGUGCUAAAUUCUGCAUUUCUGGAGGCUCAUGGAAGCUGGAAUCAACCCCUUUUGAAACCUGCCCUGCUAUCUACUUGUGUUCCAGUAAGAUCGCAAAUUGGCUGCUGCUUCCAAGGCUAAGCCAAAGUCCAGCUGCAAAUGUGAGGUGCUGAAGAUCUGCCUUAAGGUUCUGCAGCUUGCAUAAGCUUCUUCCAAUGAGCAUGCUGUUCUCACCAGGAAAGAACAACCCUACCCUCCCUCCAGUAAGAUCCACAUGACCUCAGUUACAGCGGCAAGGGCAAGGUAUUCAUAAAAAUCUGAGAUCAAGCAUUGGAACAAACACUUUAAAAUACAUGCAGAAGCUAAGAAGGAUCCAUGAAAAGCUGAACUGGAAAUACCACUGUGUUAAAACCACAGAAAGAAGCUCACAGGAAGAAAAAUCUUCCAUGAAAAUUUGCUAUUUUCACUUUAUCUGCAUUCAUCAGACC
rnacentral:lncRNA from 1 species